rnacentral:lncRNA from 1 species
UGCCAUUUAGUAUACCAAUAAAACCUACACAAGUACCUGACAGAGGCUCUAUUGUGGCCUAAGCAGAAAAUCAUCCAGUAAGCCUUUUCUUAACAACAUCAUGAAUCCAAGAAUGAUACUUCCCGCAGUAUAAAAUAUAUUUGCGUUUAUCCAUUUCCAGAAAAAAUGAAUCUCAUAAUUUCCGUUGGAAUAAGAUGUAUCAAUAACCUGCAUCAAAAGUUCAAACAAAAAAGGCACAUGAAAUAAUCUAAACAUUGUAGACAAACUAACAUGCACUUUAUUUAUACAUGUUUGUAAUUUAAAACUGAAAAUAGCAUAAAAAAUUUAACCCGUAAUAAAUUACAUUACCAUUAUGAUAAAACAUAACCUCAAGGAUGAAAAGAAUCUGAUAACUGUCUCACAGUUCUACUAAAGAAGUCAUACAGUAACUUUUCACCAAAAGUUAAUUACUAGCCAUAUUCAGUUAAAAGAAGAGUCGGUUAUUUGCAGUAUUCUUUCAUAUUCUGUUCGUAAAAAAACAUUUUCCAUACAUAAAAUCUUGUUUUGAAAUUGAUGCAUAAACCAGCUAUAUGUGCAUCACAUGAUUAAAUUUUUUUAAAAAAGGACAGUAAUUGUUUAACAGAAUACCAAACAAAAUACAAAAAAAAUAAAAAUUAGCUAUGACAUUAUGGUGUAUAGACUAUAGUUUAAACAAACUAGCUGUGAAUUCCCAUCUCAUCAAAAUCAUGUUAGACACCAAAAACCUUUUUACGCAGAAAAUGAAAAGGAAAAAAUAGUAAUUUGGAUCAUUCCAAAUCUAAUUGACGACCUAAUUUACAUAAUAUGUUGUAAUUUUAGGUAUUAAAAUUGGGUAAAAUUAAAUAACACCCCUGAAAAAUUAAAAUAGGGCUGAAGUAAUCUCCAAAAACAAAAUAAUAGCGGAACCCACUACAAAAUUCAGGUUCAUGAAUAAUACCAAUAACGGCAGGACACUAUUUUCAUAAGCAAAAUCACAACUAUACUGUAUCCAUGUUCAUUCUCAUAAAUGAGGAAUAUUUGGUAAAUACUUGGCUCAGUCUUGCUGAUUUUUUGAGAAAUACAUAAAUACAAUUUUGAUCAAAUUAAAUUAAAUACCUGAACGAAUUAAUGCGGGUUGAUCGAAGAGUUUGAUGAAGAACUGAUCGAGCUCAAGAACGCAAGGUUUGGCUGCUCCAUGAGUCUCUGUACCCAGCGAGACAGAGGAAAAUGAAAGUGAAAGGAAAAGAAGACGAGACAGGCCGUAAACGAGCCAAAGCUAGAUUCAAAUAUCCAUCAUUUUUCCUUAAAAUAAAUCCACCGUCCAUAAUACCGUCCAUAGUAUCGAAAUCGAAGACUAGUAUUAAUAAUUAAUAAUAUAAUCUAAUUCUGAUGCUCUUAAAAUUUGAACAAAGUUAUCAACUACUUUAAUAUUCAAACUAUUAUAUAUAUAUAUAUAUAAUUGAGUGAUUCAGUUGAGUGACUUUUUGUCAUACAGUAACAGGGACGCUGAAAUGAUAUGAUUAAAGGGCUCACCUGGUCUUGGAUGAAGCUGUGGAGUUUAUUAGAGGUAAGAAGACUACAUUUUUCCUUAGGGUAUUUGAUGAUAGUGGUACUUUUGUUACUAGAAAAUUAAGCGAUAUAUUUUUCUGUUGUUGAGGAUUUUCUUGAUUAAAAGUAUACUGUUUUGUGUUUCUUGCAGUUCUCAGUUUGCAGUUCUCAAAUAGUACUAGAUGCAACUGAUGCUUUUGAAGAUGUGGGACAUAGUACCAAUGCAAGAGCAAUGGUGGAUGAAUUAUAUGUGGGAUCCCCCUUGUGUAUCCAUUUACAGGGGAACUGUUAAAUUAUGGGUCCUUGAAAUGUUUGAACUUGAUCUGGUUUAUGAGCAUGUCCUUUUUAUACUCUAUCAAUUGCUUUACUUGAUAGUUUUUUUAUGUCAUUGAAAUUUUCAUAUGUAAAAACAUGACUACAUUGUGUUCGCCUUUUGGUAACUGAUACUUCCAAGAAUAAGACACCAUUAGUGGAUCAAGCUUGUAGGGGAGAGCUCUUUGUUGGUUUUCUUGAGCAUCAGAACAACCACAAAAUCAGAAUAUUAAAGUAGUUGAUAACUUUGUUCAAAUUUUAAGAGCAUCAGAAUUAGAUUAUAUUAUUAAUUAUUAAUACUAGUCUUCGAUUUCGAUAUUAUGGACGGUAUUAUGGACGGUGGAUUGCAAAUAGCAGAAUGAAUAGCAGUAAGAGUUCGUCACAAAGAAAAUGCAGUGGCCAAAUAAAAAGGAAGCGAACCUGAUCAAGCUUCCAAUUUGGAGAGAAGAGAGAUGAGAUAAUGCUGUGCUUGCGUCUGAUUUGGAGAGAAGAGAGAACGCAGAACCGAGGGCUUAUGAGUCGCGAUUCUCAGUUUGCCUAAAUCGCAAAUUUGGGGACUAGGGCUUAUUAUUUGGAGAGAGAGAGGAGCGAAUUUGGGGAGAAGCUCGAUUCUCAGAUUUGGGUUUUUUUUAAAAAGACGCGGAAGGAAGGCUGAGUUUUGUCCUUUAAAUAGUUAUGUUAAAGUUAUGCUAUUUAAGACUUAUGGUCUUGAAUAGUAAGAUAAUAGCCAAUUUAAUAUCCGAAAAAAGUGAAAAGUUCAUAGCUAAAAUAAGACAUAAAUGAGAGAAGAACAAGACGGGAUGAAUUUAAUAGGGUAUCACCUGCUGUAAGAAUAAGGAGAUCGGCUUCUAUCUCUUCGGCUUUUGCGGCUAUAUUUGCGUCCCACCGGCGACGGUGACCGUGAAUAUCUCCGCCGGUACGACGGUUACCUUGACAAAUCUCUAUCCCUAUCCCUACCCAUGUAAUCUGCAACUUAAAACAAAUACAAUAUCAC